UACGUAGGCAGCGAGCGUUGUUCGGAGUUACUGGGCGUAAAGCGUGCGUAGGCGGUUGUCUAAGUUUGGUGUGAAAUCUCCUGCUUAACUGGGAGGGUGCGCCGAAAACUGGGUGACUGGAGUGUCGGAGAGGUAAGCGGAAUUCCUGGUGUAGCGGUGAAAUGCGUAGAUAUCAGGAGGAACACCGGUGGUGUAAACGGCUCUCUGGACCGUAACUGACGCUGAGACACGAAAGCGUGGGUAGCAAACAGG
rnacentral:rRNA from 1 species